GGUCUAAUAGUGUAGCGGUUAUCACAGUGGAUUCUGACUUCGUGUUAAAUUUCCACUAACCCAGGUUCGAUUCCUGGUUAGACCU